rnacentral:rRNA from 1 species
GGGUCAGUAGGUUGGUCGUGACUCCGGUACGUACUGGUCUCACUGAUUCCUCCUUCCUGAAGUACCGUAAUGCCAUUAAUUUGGUGUUGCGGGGAAACAGGACUGUUACUUUGAAAAAAUUAGAGUGUUUAAAGCAAGCUAACGCUUGAAUACAUUAGCAUGGAAGAAUGAAAUAGGACGAUCGAUCCUAUUUUGUUGGUUUCUAGGAUUGACGUA